rfam:Schistosoma rodhaini strain Burundi genome assembly, scaffold: SROB_scaffold0002089
AUUCAGCUGACGAGUCCCAAAUAGGAUAAAACGCACGUCCUAUAU